rnacentral:rRNA from 1 species
GAUGAACGCUGGCGGCGUGCCUAAUACAUGCAAGUCGAGCGAACGGACGAGAAGCUUGCUUCUCUGAUGUUAGCGGCGGACGGGUGAGUAACACGUGGCUAACCUACCUAUAAGACUGGGAUAACUUCGGGAAACCGGAGCUAAUACCGGAUGAUAUUUUGAACCGCAUGGUUCAAAAGUGAAAGACGGUCUUGCUGUCACUUAUAGAUGGUUCCGCGCUGCAUUAGCUAGUUGGUAAGGUAACGGCUUACCAAGGCAACGAUGCAUAGCCGACCUGAGAGGAUGAUCGGCCACACUGGAACUGAGACACGGUCCAGACUCCUACGGGAGGCAGCAGUAGGGAAUCUUCCGCAAUGGGCGAAAGCCUGACGGAGCAACGCCGCGUGAGUGAUGAAGGUCUUCGGAUCGUAAAACUCUGUUAUUAGGGAAGAACAUAUGUGUAAGUAACUGUGCACAUCUUGACGGUACCUAAUCAGAAAGCCACGGCUAACUACGUG